ensembl:lncRNA
AUACUCCGUGAGGAGCGCAGCUGCAUACUACGCCUCUCCCUGGAGAAGCUGCGUUUCCUGGAUGACCCCGAGGCCUACCUGCGUCGCUCAGUCCUCAUCAACAACCUGCUGAGGAAGAUCCACCACGAUGAGGAGGGGCACGAACCACAGGAGACGGAGGACCAAGAGGAGAGGGAUGCAGAUACCCAGAAACUAUUCUGCUCCAGCAGGAAGAGACUGAAGGUCAUGGUGGCGGCAUCCGAGUGCGAUGCACAGAACUUUAGCUACGCAGAGGUUCCUCAAUACAGGCUGGUGUCGUACGCCUCAUCCCCAAGUGCAAUAUGCAUCUGUGGGCUGGGCAGCUGUCCUGCCCUGGCCUCCAGCCAUGGAGCUCCUGUUCUGGUAUAUGACUUGGAUGAUCAUGGAUGAAAGGGGUGGGUGAAGAUCUUGGCUUAAGGAAUAAAAAGAUUUCAGUCGUCUGAUGUGCGCUCUUGAUGACUGUGUUGACAAGGUGUUGUGUGUCAGGGCUGGUCGAGAGAAAAAUGCUGUAUGUUGCUUGUACUUGGAAGCUAAGGGCCAGCUAUGGAAUAUGAACCAUGGCUACUAUAGCUGUGUCUGGGGGAAACCCUCCAGAACCGCAGCCAGUAUCAGGGUCUGUUUGUCAUCUCUCUCUCUCUCUCUGUCUAUCUAUCCAUCUAUCUUUCUGUCUAUCUCUGAUUCUUUAGCAUAUGUGUCUGUCAAAAGGAUGACUUAACUGUUGUAAUUUCAAAACCUUGUAUGAAUCUGAAAAUAUAUUUUUGCUGAUGUGAGGUAUGAUGCUUGUUUUUUUCAGGGAUAUGAACUCUAAAGAAGCCAUGCAUGUGUUUUUGUAAACUUACAUGAUGCCAAACCAGGGUCUUAAUGAAGCGCUUUGUUUUGUCCUGAGACAGUCACACCUUGUCUUUGAAUGUAGAAUCAGUGUGAGAAACGCUGACUAAAACGGAAUCAUUAUGAAAUUUCAAGUCUUACAGGUUACCAAGUGAAUAAUAGAGUUUAGCAGAGCUACUGAGCAGUGGUAUUCUAAAAAUGGGCAAAGACACAAAACUGGUCACAUUCGGUGACUUCUUGCUAAACCUCAGCAUUCUACUGCCCCCUAGUGUUCAGAUCACUGAUAGACUCAAUCAAAUCUAUAUGAAUUUCAGACUGGUGAAAAAUUCCCGAAAGCCAACCCUGCUUCUUUAUUCGUCGGAAAGAUCAGGCUCUCUACAGUGUAGCUUCAGCUAUAGAUACACAUCUGUCUCAGAGACUCAUUGUGCAGUGCUUUUUAACGUUUGUGGUACAUUUUUUGUUUCUGUGUAAACUGCUCUAAAGCCACGAGGAUGUGCAUUGAAUUUAUCUAUUUCUGGGUAUGUGUGUCAAGAGAAAUAGGCUGAAUAUCAAUGACCAAAUAAAUGGCAGUAAUUUUGAUCACUGUGGAGUGGCCAGUGCUCCGCAAUUAGGCCUACUUGCAAUGUUAUGGUUUGUCCCAAUUACGUACAAAUAGACAUUAAAACUAAUGUUUUGUAUGUUAUCAUUAUUUCAUUUUUUUAAAUUUCAUUUGAAUGUUUUAAAAUGCAAACAAAACAUUGCCAAAUAUUUACAAAGUAGCAAUUGCAAUUUAUCUAUUUUUGAGGUGAUUGACAUUAAAACUGUUAAUACCACCUGAACUUUUUUCUCUGUGUGUAAUUCUGAAAUUCUAAGCACAGUUGCUCAUACUGGUUCAUAGUUGAUUACUAUUAGGGCAAACUAGCAUAGGUCAUUAAAUACUAGCCUAAAUGAAUACGGUCAAAAUAUUAUACGCCUAUAAGUGUCCGUUAUAGAAUUAUUUCAUACUUUCUCUUGUGUUUUGGGGAUGAUACUGCCGAAACACAAGAACAGCUGCCGACACCCAAGAACAAGAAAAUAAUGUCGACG